GUCAAAUCAUCAUGCCCUUUAUGACCUGGGCUACACACGUAAUACAAUGGCGCUCUAACAGAGGGAAGCUAAGGGGCGACCUGGAGCAAAACCCCAAAAAGCGCCUCAGUUCGGAUCGCAGGCUGCAACUCGCCUGCGUGAAGUCGGAAUUGCUAGUAAUCGCGGAUCAUCAUGCCGCGGUGAAUACGUUCCCGGGCCUU
rnacentral:rRNA from 1 species